rnacentral:misc_RNA from 1 species
AAGUCGUAACAAGGUAACCGUAGGUGAACCUGCGGUUGGAUCAUUACAAAUUCUCUCAAUUGUUCUUUUUCGCAUGCAAAGCCUCUUCGAGAUUGCUGCGAACUGAAUGAAUGAAGAAACUAAAAUGUGCACCUGUAUUUGUACGUUGGCGGUUUGUUCAGUGCUUUGUGCUGGACCUGCAUUAAAAAUUGCAAAAGGCCGUCAAUAGUGUUUUCACAAAAAAACGCUUUAAAAAUAUUCCAAAAAUCAGCUUAUGCUAUUUUUUAUAUGUAUAUAUUUCAACUCUUAUUCUCUUGAAAACCAAGAACAACUAUUAACAAUGGAUCUCUUGGCUCUC